rnacentral:rRNA from 1 species
AUGUUUUGGCUAGAUUGGUGGUCGGGUGAUAGACAGUUCGCAGAACGGUUCUAUGCGCUAUUUAGUAUUUGCACUUGCCUACAACUCACGGUGAGUGUGGCCUUAGAGGAGUUUGGGAGCAUCGCCUUCCGACGCACUUUUGGCCCGCUUGAACAGGACAAAUGGGAGGAGUUGCUUGAAUGCAUAGCCCUCCAUGCCCCCUCCCUUGAGGAGGACGCGAUCUCAUGGACAUUUGAACGAAGUGGGAGGUUCUCGGCCAAGUCCUUAUAUCACGCUCUAUUGGCCUCGCUAGGUCCGAACGAGUUAACUCUCCUUUGGGAGAUUAAAUUUCCAUUGAAGAUCCGCAUCUUCCUCUGGGAAUGGGUGUGCGGCCGCCUCCCUUCAGGCACAUAGGUUCUCAAACACAAUGGCCCGGGGGAUGGGCUAUGCCCCUUAUGCGGAGUACUUGAGGACUCCAACCACAUAUUCUUCCGCUGCCCGGCAGCGAUCUUUCUUUGA